AUCGCAGGCCGCCUUAUCGUUUCGAAUUAACUUCGGAAAGGAAAGUCCGGGCAAUACAGAGCAACGUACUUCUUAACAGGAAGGUACUGGCUGUAAAUGUCAGUAACAGAAAGUGCAACAGAAAAUAAACUACCCUGAUAAACUUAUGAUUGUCGGGGAAAAGGUGAAAAGGUGAGGUAAGAGCUCACCGCCCGUACGGUGACGUACAGGGGCAUGGUAAACCUUGCGUAUUGAAAGAUCAAAUAGGUUCUGCUCCCCGCCAGUUGCGGGGACCAAUUGGCUCGAUUGGAAACCCGUUUGUCGGGCAUAGCAGAAUGGGUAGAUCGAUAGACCCUGACGGUGACGUCCGGGCUAGAUAAAUGAUAAGGGUUCCGAACUGGUUUCGGAAAACAGAACCCGGCUUACAGGCCUGCAUUUUUU
rnacentral:RNase_P_RNA from 1 species